CCUACGGGGGGCUGCAGUGGGGAAUAUUGCACAAUGGAGGGAACUCUGAUGCAGCGACGCCGCGUGAGUGAAGAAGGUCUUCGGAUCGUAAAACUCUGUCCUUGGUGACGAAGAAAAUGACGGUAGCCAAGGAGGAAGCCCCGGCUAACUACGUGCCAGCAGCCGCGGUAAUACGUAGGGGGCGAGCGUUGUCCGGAUUUACUGGGCGUAAAGGGUGAGUAGGCGGUUAUAUAUGUCAGGUGUAAAAAGCUAUGGCUUAACCAUAGUAAGCACUUGAAACUGUAUGACUUGAGUGCAGGAGAGGUAAGCGGAAUUCCUAGUGUAGCGGUGAAAUGCGUAGAUAUUAGGAGGAACACCGGUGGCGAAGGCGGCUUACUGGACUGUAACUGACGCUGAGUCACGAAAGCGUGGGUAGCAAACAGGAUUAGAUACCCCGGUAGUC
rnacentral:rRNA from 1 species